UCAAGUAAAGGAAGAGCACAAGGCGGAUGCCUUGGCAGCAUAAGGCGAUGAAGGACGUAAUAACCUGCGAUAAGCCUCGGGGAGCUGGUAAAUAAGCUUCGAUCCGAGGAUUUCCGAAUGGGAAAACCCAAUACACAUAAGUGUAUUAUCUUAUACUGAAUACAUAGGUAUAAGAGGCAAACCUAGGGAACUGAAACAUCUAAGUACCUAGAGGAAAAGAAAUCAACAGAGAUUCCGGUAGUAGCGGCGAGCGAAACCGGACCAGCCCUUAAGCUUAUUUUAGUCCAGCAAAAUAUUCUGGAAAGUUUAGCCAUAGUAGGUGAUAGCCCUGUAUGCGAAAGACUAAUUUAAGUGAAAUCGAGUAGGUCGGGACACGAGAAAUCUUGACUGAACAUGGGGGGACCAUCCUCCAAGGCUAAAUACUCUAUGCUGACCGAUAGUGAACCAGUACCGUGAGGGAAAGGCGAAAAGAACCCCGGCGAGGGGAGUGAAAUAGAACCUGAAACCUUGUGCUUACAAGCAGUCGGAGCAGACUUGUUCUGUGACGGCGUACCUUUUGUAUAAUGGGUCAACGACUUAAUUUCAGUAGCAAGCUUAACCAUUUAGGGUAGGCGUAGGGAAACCGAGUCUUAAUAGGGCGCUCAGUUGCUGGAAUUAGACCCGAAACCGGGUGAUCUAUCCAUGGCCAGUGUGAAGGUCGAGUAACAUCGACUGGAGGCGCGAACCCACUUAUGUUGAAAAAUGAGGGGAUGAGCUGUGGAUAGGAGUGAAAGGCUAAUCAAACCCGGAGAUAGCUGGUUCUCUUCGAAAACUAUUUAGGUAGUGCCUCGUGUAUUACUGUAGGGGGUAGAGCACUGUUUCGGCUAGGGGGUCAUCCCGACUUACCAAACCGAUGCAAACUCCGAAUACCUACAAGUAUGAGCACGGGAGACAGACUGCGGGUGCUAACGUCCGUAGUCGAGAGGGAAACAACCCAGACUGUCAGCUAAGGUCCCAAAUUAUGAUUAAGUGGGAAACAAUGUGGGAAGGCACAAACAGCUAGGAGGUUGGCUUAGAAGCAGCCAUCCUUUAAAGAAAGCGUAAUAGCUCACUAGUCGAGUCGGCCUGCGUGGAAGAUAUAACGGGGCUAAAUCAUAAACCGAAGCUACAGAUCUUAAAUUUAUUUAAGAUGGUAGAAGAGCGUUCUGUAAGCGGUUGAAGGUAAGCUGAGAGGCGAACUGGACGUAUCAGAAGUGCGAAUGUUGACAUGAGUAACGAUCAAAGAGGUGAAAAACCUCUUCGCCGAAAAACCAAGGGUUCCUGUCCAACGCUAAUCGAGGCAGGGUGAGGCGGCCCCUAAGGCGAGGGCGAAAGCCGUAGUCGAUGGGAAACAGGUUAAUAUUCCUGUACUUUUUAUAACUGCGAUGGGGUGACGGAGAAGGUUAGACUAGCACGGCGACGGUUGUCCGUGUUCAAGGUUGUAGGCUGGUGUUCUAGGUAAAUCCGGAACGCUAAGGCUGAGAACUGAUAACGACCACUCUACGAGUGGGAAGUAGUCGAUACCAUGCUUCCAGGAAAAACCUCUAAGCUUCAGGUUAUAAGAAACCGUACCCUAAACCGACACAGGUGGUUAGGUCGAGUAGACCAAGGUGUUUGAGAGAACUAUGGUGAAGGAACUAGGCAAAAUAGCACCGUAACUUCGGGAGAAGGUGCGCCGCGUUUGGUGAUGAGACUUGCUCUCUAAGCUGAACGUGGUCGAAGAUACCAGGUGGCUGCGACUGUUUACUAAAAACAUAGCACUCUGCAAACUCGUAAGAGGAAGUAUAGGGUGUGACGCCUGCCCGGUGCCGGAAGGUUAAUUGAUGGGGUUAGCUUCGGCGAAGCUCUUGAUCGAAGCCCCGGUAAACGGCGGCCGUAACUAUAACGGUCCUAAGGUAGCGAAAUUCCUUGUCGG
rnacentral:rRNA from 1 species